AAGGUUUCUUCUACAUUUCAUUGAGUUAAUAAGUAUGGAGAAGCAAGGCGUGAAAAUGAGAGAAAGCUUGAUACCCAAUAUCAACGAAAAAUUGCCGAAGCACUUGAUAAUCACUUGACUGCUAUCCAAAGGGACCAUGAACUCAGGUCCCAGAUAGAAGAAAGGAAAAUAAGAAGUGAUGCGGCUUAUGAAGGGGCCAAAAGAAAAGAGAAAGCUCUCCUGGAAGAAAAACUCCGCCAAGAAAAAGCCAAAGCAGAAGCUGAGGCAAAACUCAGAGCUGAAGAAGCAAAUAGGGCUGCAAUGGAAGCUCAGAGAAGAGAAGCAAAAGA